UGGGGAAUUUUGCGCAAUGGGGGAAAGCCCUGAUCCAGCCAUUCCGCGUGAGUGAAGAAGGCCUUCGGGUUGUAAAGCUCUUUGUCCGGAGCGAAACGGUUACGGCCAAUACCCGUGACUACUGACGGUACCGGAAGAAUAAGCACCGGCUAACUACGUGCCAGCAGCCGCGGUAAUACGUAGGGUGCGAGCGUUAAUCGGAAUUACUGGGCGUAAAGCGUGCGCAGGCGGUUUGCUAAGACCGAUGUGAAAUCCCGGCUGC
rnacentral:rRNA from 1 species